UACGAAGGGGGCUAGCGUUGUUCGGAUUUACUGGGCGUAAAGCGCACGUAGGCGGAUUGUUAAGUCAGGGGUGAAAUCCUGGAGCUCAACUCCAGAACUGCCUUUGAUACUGGCAAUCUUGAGUCCGGGAGAGGUGAGUGGAACUGCGAGUGUAGAGGUGAAAUUCGUAGAUAUUCGCAAGAACACCAGUGGCGAAGGCGGCUUCUUGGGCCAUUUCUGACGCUGAGGCGCGAAAGCUAGGGGAGCGAACGGGAU
rnacentral:rRNA from 1 species